AUAAUACAUAUCAUAUAUAUCAUAUAUGAUACAUAUAUAUCUCAUAUAUAAUACAUAUAUAUCAUAUAUAAUACAUAUCAUAUAUAAUACAUAUCAUAUAUAAUACAUAUCAUAUAUAUCAUAUAUAAUACAUAUCAUAUAUAUCAUAUAUAAUACAUAUCAUAUAUAUCAUAUAUAAUACAUAUGUAUCAUAUAUAUAAUACAUAUCAUAUAUAUCAUUCAUAUAUAUAUAUACACACACACACAUACACACACACACACACACACACACACACACCCCCUUGGAACAUACCUACCACCUAUUUUGCUAAGCACUCAAUAAAUGUAAGUCUGUGGUCCACACUUCCCACAAAUUGACUAGGGUUCUAUUCUACUCAGUCCAACAAAUAUCUACUGACUUAAAAGAAUAAAAAUAUGAGUAUACACAGCCUUCGUCUUUGAGAAACUUAAAAAUUCAUGUAAGUUUCUCAUCAAUGGUAAGAAAACAAAUCACCACAAUUCAAAGUACAUUAAGUGAUUUCCUGAGACACACAAAAAUCAGGAUGGCACUUGCACGCAGAUUGUUUUACAUAACAGAUGAUAACCAGUUCAUUGUUUUUUUUAAAUGUGUUGGAUUAAUAUUGAAAUGCUACCUUCUGGAGUUAUAACAACAAAAAUAACAAACAAGAAUGGUGAAUUUAAUUUAUGAAUAGAAGUAGCAGCUUUAAGAAUAAGUACAAGAACAAUGUAAAGAGCAUCUCACAAGUAUUUUACCUCAAAUUAUAGAAAACAAAAAUUAUAUUGGGCUUAAAGUAUGCCUUGCCAAAGGACAAAAGCAGCAAGUUCACCAAUACAGAAAUACCAGUGACUCAUUAGUAAAAACAAAUUUCAAACUUCUGAGUGGGGAUUGUGGCCUCAGACAGACUCAAGAUAGAGUCUGUCUUAUUAGCUAUGAAACCUCUGAGCCUCAACUUCAUCCUGUCUGUUAGAUGGGAUGCUUGCAGUUCCAAUAAACAGAAAUGCCAACUCAAAAAAUCAAUUAAGCAGUAAGAUACAUUACAUCACACUCAGUGAUGUCUAAAAAAAAAAAGAAAGAAACAGCCUCCUCUUGGGAUUCUUAAGAUCACCCAGCGAACUUUCCUUUGUGUCUUGUUGUCCAGAACUUAGUAACCAAUACAUGGCUGAACUAAUCAGGAAUGGAGUUCCUCUUAGAUCUCUUGGGCCCAUCCCUGAAGUUAGAGGUGGGGACAGCUUCCCCUGAGACACAGAUUGCAAAGAAGAGAGGUGGAUUCCGGAAAAAACUGCAGUUCUUUUAGAAAGUUGGAGAGAAAAAUGGAGACCUUAUAGAUGACCAGCAGUAUCUACUAAGAAUACUAACCUCGUGGGCUUGAUACAAACAGGCUGACUCUUGCUCAUCCAUCGAGUCUCAACUUUCAUGAAGUGGCUUCAAGCCAGCCUUUUCUGCUCACCUGUUACGCUUCUCCUUCUAAGCACAUGGUAGCAUUGCUCUUCCUGGGCCCCUUGGGAUCAGGUGCAGCCAUGGAACUAGCACUUUCCAACUGGUUGUGAACAGAAGUGAUGUGUAUCACCUCCUCACUGGAACAUCAAGUUACAAGACCCCCUUUCUUGUUCUCAUAACAACCAUGGAUGCUUUCAAUGAUGGCAGCUACUGCACCCUGAGCCACUAAAAGACUAGGAAGAAAAGAGGCCCCUGCUGGUGGAUCAUGAGUGUGCAACAUGAAACUAUUUUCAACUUUCAGUUUUCAGGGUCAUUGCAUAACCUGGCCCAGUGCAUCACAAAUUUUAGGUGCAAAGGAAUCACCUAGAGAGCUCCUUUCCCAAAGAGAUUGAUUCAAUCCCUAUUGGGUGCUGGAAAAGAUAGCAGAGGAAAAGCCAGCAUUAAGAAGCACAGCCAGCACACGGUCAAGCCAUCAUUCAUGACCACUGCUGGGUCUACCUAUUUCACAAACAGGAUUUCUGCUGACACCGGAAAAAUCCAUAGCAUGCUCACGGAUCUUCCUGUAGUCUCUCAAUCAUUUCUCAGAAUUAAUGGGGAAAAACCUUUUGAAUGUUUGCUAUAUAUAGGAACCAUGUGGAAAAAUUGGAAAUCAUCUAGAGAUAUUUAAAAGGAGACUCAGAUUUACAUACAAUGAUAUGUUUGAAGUUUGCUUUGAAAUACUAUAUUCUCCCUUACCCUCUUCCCCCACCAGAAAACCUGUGGAGUAACAAAAAUGGAAUAAAUACGAUUUGCCAUGAUGUAAUAAUCACCUGAUGAGUUCUUCCUGCCCAC
rnacentral:lncRNA from 1 species